UGGGGAAUUUUGGACAAUGGGCGCAAGCCUGAUCCAGCAAUGCCGCGUGCAGGAUGAAGGCCUUCGGGUUGUAAACUGCUUUUGUACGGAACGAAAAGCCCUGGGUUAAUACCCUGGGGUCAUGACGGUACCGUAAGAAUAAGCACCGGCUAACUACGUGCCAGCAACCGCGGUAAUACGUAGGGUGCGAGCGUUAAUCGGAAUUACUGGGCGUAAAGCGUGCGCAGGCGGUUUUGUAAGACAGAGGUGAAAUCCCCGGGCUCAACCUGGGAACUGCCUUUGUGACUGCAAGGCUAGAGUACGGCAGAGGGGGAUGGAAUUCCGCGUGUAGCAGUGAAAUGCGUAGAUAUGCGGAGGAACACCGAUGGCGAAGGCAAUCCCCUGGGCCUGUACUGACGCUCAUGCACGAAAGCGUGGGGAGCAAACAG
rnacentral:rRNA from 1 species